UCUAUUCCCACAGCAUUGCCCAAGAUCUGACCUUAGUCCCGCCUCUGGAAGUCAUCCUGGAAUUCCCGCAGACUGCAGAGUGAGCCCUGGGCCGGUCUACUUUGUGUGGGUGCAGGUGCUGAACCCUUGCUGCCCAAGCAUCCCGGCGUGGGCCUGGCCACCUGCUGUCCACUUCUCCCAGGAGGGGGGACUGCUGUCCCAUUCACCACAUUGCAAGAAACGGUUUAUGUAGUACAUAUUGGAGAGGUUCUCUCUCCUUCAGCAGCCAGGGAAUGUAAGAAGCUCAACGAUGCGAGGGUCCUGAGCCAAGACCUCCAGGACUCUGGAAGGCCCGAGGCCCAUGAGACUGUGUCCUUGAGAGGCGGCUGAAAUGAUGCCCAACACUACCUGUCUCUAACUCCACCUGCUGCUCUUCUUUUCUCUUCUUUUGAGAAAAUGGCCCAGUUUCCGGGUGAAACUUCUGCCGGACUCCGCCACGUAUCCGGAACUAGCCUAGCGCAAGAUGGCAUGCCACAGCAACGGGACUCAACUUCACGAGGGAGGCAAGUAAAGGGAUUUGAAAAGAUAAAUUCACUUGCUCACUG
rnacentral:lncRNA from 1 species